rfam:Candidate division WOR-3 bacterium 4484_100 ex4484_100_scaffold_31131, whole genome shotgun sequence.
GGGGGUGUAGCUCAGUUGGGAGAGCAGUGCGUUUGCAACGCACAGGUCAGCGGUUCGAAUCCGCUCACCUCCA